GGUCGUUAGCUCAGUUGGUAGAGCAGUUGACUUUUAAUCAAUUGGUCGCAGGUUCGAAUCCUGCACGACCACCA
rnacentral:tRNA from 8 species